rnacentral:rRNA from 1 species
UACGGGGGGGGUAAGCGUUGUCCGGAUUUAUUGGGCGUAAAGAGCGUGUAGGCGGCCUGACAGGUCUGCUGUGAAAACUCGAGGCUCAACCUCGAGAUGUCGGCGGAAACCGUCUGGCUAGAGUCCGGAAGAGGAGAGUGGAAUUCCUGGUGUAGCGGUGAAAUGCGUAGAUAUCGGGAGGAACACCAGUGGCGAAGGCGACUACCUGGCCUGUUCUUGACGCUGAGGCGCGGAAAGCUAGGGGAGCAAACGGG